AACAUUAGUAGAGAAGCGUGUGAGCCAGCUGCCAAGAAAAGCCGCUAUUGCUUCAUAAGUACCCGUACCGUAAACCGACACAGGUGGAUGAGGAGAGAAUCCUAAGGCCGGCGGGAGAAGUGUUGUUAAGGAACUCGGCAAAAUGACUCCGUAACUUCGGGAGAAGGAGUGCCACAGAGAUGUGGCCGCAGAGAAAUGGCCCAAGCAACUGUUUAGCAAAAACACAGGUCUAUGCAAAACCGAAAGGUGAGGUAUAUGGGCUGACGCCUGCCCGGUGCUGGAAGGUUAAGAGGAGAGGUUAGAGCAAUCGAAGCUUUGAAUUUAAGCCCCAGUAAACGGCGGCCGUAACGAUAACGGUCCUAAGGUAGCGAAAUUCCUUGUCGGGUAAGUUCCGACCCGCACGAAAGGCGUAAUGAUUUGGGCACUGUCUCAACAACACACCCGGUGAAAUUGAAAUACCAGUGAAGAUGCUGGUUACCUGCGCCAGGACGGAAAGACCCCAUGGAGCUUUACUCCAGUUUGAUACUGGGAUUCGGUACUGUCUGUACAGGAUAGGUGGGAGGCUAGGAAAUGGUGACGCCAGUUGCCAUGGAGCCAACCUUGGGAUACCACCCUUACAGUACUGGGUUUCUAACCUGCAGCCGUGACCCGGCUGGGGGACAAUGUCUGACGGGGAGUUCGACUGGGGCGGUCGCCUCCGAAAGAGUAUCGGAGGCGCUCAAAGGUUCCCUCAGAACGGUUGGAAACCGUUCGAAGAGUGCAAAGGCAGAAGGGAGCUUGACUGCGACACCGACGGGUGGAGCAGAUACGAAAGUAGGACUUAGUGAUCCGGUGGUAUAAAGUGGGAUUGCCAUCGCUCAACGGAUAAAAGCUACCCUGGGAUAACAGGCUUAUCACUCCCAAGAGUUCACAUCGACGGAGUGGUUUGGCACCUCGAUGUCGGCUCAUCGCAUCCUGGAGCUGUAGCAGGUUCCAAGGGUUGGGCUGUUCGCCCAUUAAAGCGGUACGCGAGCUGGGUUCAGAACGUCGUGAGACAGUUCGGUCCCUAUCCGGCGUGGGCGUAGGAUAUUUGAGAGGAGCUGUCCUUAGUACGAGAGGACCGGGAUGGACAAACCUCUGGUGUAUCUGUUGUUUUACCAAAGGCAUGGCAGAGUAGCCAAGUUUGGCAGGGAUAAACGCUGAAGGCAUCUAAGCGUGAAGCCCCCCUCAAGAUAAGAUAUCCCAUCUUCGGAGUAGACCCCUUGAAGACUACAAGGUUGAUAGGCUUCAGGUGUAAGUGUGGUAACGCACUCAGCUGAGAAGUACUAAUAGGUCGAGGACUUAUC
rnacentral:rRNA from 1 species